GGUCGUGACUGCGUGCCUUUUGAAGAAUGAGCCUGCGAGUUAGCGGUGUGUAGCGAGGUUAACCCGUGUGGGGAAGCCGUAGCGAAAGCGAGUCCGAAUAGGGCGAUUGAGUUGCACGCUCUAGACCCGAAGCGGAGUGAUCUAGCCAUGGGCAGGUUGAAGCGGAGGUAAGACUUCGUGGAGGACCGAACCCACCAGGGUUGAAAACCUGGGGGAUGACCUGUGGUUAGGGGUGAAAGGCCAAUCAAACUCCGUGAUAGCUGGUUCUCCCCGAAAUGCAUUUAGGUGCAGCGUCGUGUGUUUCUUGCCGGAGGUAGAGCACUGGAUAGGCGAUGGGCCCUACCGGGUUACUGACCUUAGCCAAACUCCGAAUGCCGGUAAGUGAGAGCACGGCAGUGAGACUGUGGGGGAUAAGCUCCAUGGUCGAGAGGGAAACAGCCCAGAGCAUCGACUAAGGCCCCUAAGCGUACGCUAAGUGGGAAAGGAUGUGGAGUCGCAGAGACAACCAGGAGGUUGGCUUAGAAGCAGCCACCCUUGAAAGAGUGCGUAAUAGCUCACUGGUCAAGUGAUUCCGCGCCGACAAUGUAGCGGGGCUCAAGCGUACCGCCGAAGUCGUGUCAUUGCAGCAAUAGGGCCAACGCCCGCUGUGAUGGGUAGGGGAGCGUCGUGUGCCGGGUGAAGCAGCAGCGGAAGCUAGUUGUGGACGGUUCACGAGUGAGAAUGCAGGCAUGAGUAGCGAUACACACGUGAGAAACGUGUGCGCCGAUUGACUAAGGGUUCCUGGGUCAAGCUGAUCUGCCCAGGGUAAGUCGGGACCUAAGGCGAGGCCGACAGGCGUAGUCGAUGGACAACCGGUUGAUAUUCCGGUACCCGCUUUGAAACGCCCAAUAUCGAAUCAGGCGAUGCUAAGUCCGUGAAGCCGUUCCGGACCCUUCGGGGAAAGGAAAGUGGUGGAGCCGACGAACCAGACUUGUAGUAGGUAAGCGAUGGGGUGACGCAGGAAGGUAGUCCAGCCCGGGCGGUGGUAGUCCCGGGGUAAGGGUGUAGGCCGAGGGGUAGGCAAAUCCGUCCCUCAUUAAGGCUGAGACCUGAUGCCGAGCCGAUUGUGGUGAAGUGGAUGAUCCUAUGCUGUCGAGAAAAGCCUCUAGCGAGUUUCAUGGCGGCCCGUACCCUAAACCGACUCAGGUGGUCAGGUAGAGAAUACCGAGGCGUUCGGGUGAACUAUGGUUAAGGAACUCGGCAAAAUGCCCCCGUAACUUCGGGAGAAGGGGGGCCAUCACUGGUGAUCGGAUUUACUCCGUGAGCUGGGGGUGGCCGCAGAGACCAGCGAGAAGCGACUGUUUACUAAAAACACAGGUCCGUGCGAAGCCGUAAGGCGAUGUAUACGGACUGACGCCUGCCCGGUGCUGGAACGUUAAGGGGACCGGUUAGUGACCUUUCGGGGUUGCGAAGCUGAGAACUUAAGCGCCAGUAAACGGCGGUGGUAACUAUAACCAUCCUAAGGUAGCGAAAUUCCUUGUCGGGUAAGUUCCGACCUGCACGAAUGGCGUAACGACUUCUCGACUGUCUCAACCAUAGGCCCGGUGAAAUUGCACUACGAGUAAAGAUGCUCGUUUCGCGCAGCAGGACGGAAAGACCCCGGGACCUUUACUACAGUUUGAUAUUGGUGUUCGGUUCGGCUUGUGUAGGAUAGGUGGGAGACUUUGAAGCAGCCACGCCAGUGGUUGUGGAGUCGCCGUUGAAAUACCACUCUGGUCGUGCUGGAUGUCUAACCUCGGUCCGUGAUCCGGAUCAGGGACAGUGUCUGAUGGGUAGUUUAACUGGGGCGGUUGCCUCCCAAAGGGUAACGGAGGCGCCCAAAGGUUCCCUCAGCCUGGUUGGCAAUCAGGUGUUGAGUGUAAGUGCACAAGGGAGCUUGACUGUGAGACCGACGGGUCGAGCAGGGACGAAAGUCGGGACUAGUGAUCCGGCGGUGGCUUGUGGAAGCGCCGUCGCUCAACGGAUAAAAGGUACCCCGGGGAUAACAGGCUGAUCUUCCCCAAGAGUCCAUAUCGACGGGAUGGUUUGGCACCUCGAUGUCGGCUCGUCGCAUCCUGGGGCUGGAGUCGGUCCCAAGGGUUGGGCUGUUCGCCCAUUAAAGCGGUACGCGAGCUGGGUUUAGAACGUCGUGAGACAGUUCGGUCCCUAUCCGCUGUGCGCGUAGGAAUAUUGAGAAGGGCUGUCCCUAGUACGAGAGGACCGGGACGGACGAACCUCUGGUGUGCCAGUUGUCCUGCCAAGGGCACGGCUGGUUGGCUACGUUCGGGAGGGAUAACCGCUGAAAGCAUCUAAGCGGGAAGCCUGCUUCAAGAUGAGUAUUCCCACCUCCUUGAGAGGGUAAGGCUCCCAGUAGACGACUGGGUUGAUAGGCCAGAUGUGGAAGCCCGGUAACGGGUGAAGCUGACUGGUACUAAUAGGCCGAGGGCUUGUCCUCAGUUG
rnacentral:rRNA from 1 species